rnacentral:rRNA from 1 species
AAAGCAUCUAAGCACGAAACUUGCCCCGAGAUGAGUUCUCCCUGAGACUUUAAGUCUCCUGAAGGAACGUUAAAGACGAUGACGUUGAUAGGCCGGGUGUGUAAGCGCAGCGAUGCGUUGAGCUAACCGGUACUAAUGAACCGUGAGGCUUAACCUU